CACAUGCAUUUGCAAGUUUACAUAGCAGCUGCUGGAAGAGGUGCUAAAACCUCUGCCAUCUGAGUGCAUGACUGAAUUUUGAAGCUGUAAAUUACUGUCCUGAGGGAAUGCAUUUAACUAAAGAACAGUGCCAGUGCAAGAAAGGUUAAGCAAGAUCACGCUUGAAAUGAAUCUACGUCUAUCAAAAUUCAAAAUCCAGGACUACAUACCAACUUUGUGAAAUGUGAAAGCAUUCAAAGCAUUCAAUAUUCAAGGACUACUGUUUUCUCCCUGGCUUUCUAAAGAGUUUGACAAUCUUGAUUUGGCCCAAAGAUCCAGAUUGGCAAAAUGUACAAAAUAAAAUUCCAUCUUAAUCCUGAGUAAAACAAUAAUAAUAAAAAAAUAACAACAGCAACAAAAAAGUUGGCUGGAAAUUUAUUAUCAGAGAGCUGGGCAUUCAUUUUAAUAACUGAAAUGCACAGGCAUCUUUUUAUAGCUAGAAGUUGAAUCUGGCUGUUUUGUUAAGGUGCAUGUGGAAUAUCUGUACACAUACUACCUCUAGAAUUCUACCUUUAGUUGCUCAAACAAUUCUGUUUUCAGACCUGUUCUGAAAUAAAAAUAAAACAAAA